AAGACCCCUUGAAGACGACGAGGUAGAUAGGUUGGAGGUGGAAGUGCAGCAAUGCAUGGAGCUGACCAAUACUAAUCGGUCGAGGGCUUAUCCUA
rnacentral:rRNA from 3 species